GGGCCGCACCACCCGGGGCCGCGGGGGACGCGCCCGGGGCCGCCGCCCGCGCCAGGCUCCGCUCCCGGCCUCCGCCCCUUCCUGCGCUCCGCCGGGUCUUUGGUGUUUUCUCUUCUCAGGCCCUCAAGAACCCGAGGUCUGGUAAGUGACUUCACACGCGGGAUGCAAUUCACACCUGGGAUUCUCCUCCCUCCAAAACGAAUGGCACGUUCCAACACCAACCCAUUUCGCCGGGUGUUCUUUUUCUCUUCCUGCUCGAUCAUCUUCUGCUACGUUUUGUAUUUUAAACAACUUUAUUGGACAGGCCCACGGGGCUGGAAGCAAAGUGUGGUAUUGGGGGAAGGGGCCGAAUGCCUUAGGGCAGCUCUGAGGUGCUCUCAGGGAGAAGAGAAGUCGAAAAAUGAAGCUGCGAAAGCGCCCUUGGAAAUCAGCAGUGAACGUCAGGACCUGAGCGCAUUUGGAGCGUCGGUUUGCGGUUGACCAUUUCAUUCAACAAUAACGGCGUGUUUCCUUCCUAGGCGACACUGUCAUCUCCAGGUUAAGCUGCUUGUGACUCAGAUAUGGCCUGAAGAGGACAGAGGACACUUAAAGGGCAGGGCAGCCUUGGCCGGAUUGUUCUUAGAAGUUGAGUUGUUCCACUUAUCUGGAUGAUUCAGGCAAAACAAUCCCGUCUCCAAAAUCACUCAGCUACUUUUUAUGCAAGAAAAGUUUAGUGCAGGCAAAGAGUGUGUCGGUAAAAACACACUUGUCAGGAAGGCUAACCCCUGGUGAUACAGCCUCCAGUGACUGAAUUCACUCUCCCCGAGAUGAUCAAUUCUGUCUUCAGGCAGCAGUAGCCCUUACGAAGAAUAAUUUUGUCCUGAAGGUUCCAUGGAUGGCGUCUCUGGAUGACUUUCACUCACUGGUCCUAGUAGUGGCCAAAGCAUCUCCCCACCGUUUCCACCCACCAUGGCAGCUCGUCAAAUGUCACACUGAAGGACAGAUAUCAUUUGCCACAUUUUAAAUUCUGACCUUCCUUUAGAGUGCCGACCCUGCACUCUCCAGCUCAGGGUCAACUGUUGUCUUAACUGUAAGUUUUUUCCCCUGAAAGCCUGGAUAUUCAUCUGGGGUUACGUCACUGGCUGUCUCUUGAGGUACUGCGAUACAAGACUGAAAGAAGCUGACUCACUCACGCCUCAUCUUCAGUGUGUAUGUGCUCAGCUGGUUCUGACUUUUUGCAGGCCCCUGUUCUGUAGCCAGGGUCCUACUUCCUUGUAAUUUUCCAGGCAGGAACACUGGAGUGGGUUGCCGGUUCCUACUCCGUGUCAUCAUUAGAAGGGACCAUGGAUUACAAACCAGGGAUAAGAAUGUUUGAAAACAACUGGUCUUUGUGUUUCUGUCCUAUUGAUGAGUAAGUAUUCCGUCUACUGAGAAUAUAGAAACAAGUGCCUUACUGAAAUUGGGUACCGGCAUCAGCCACUGGAAUUUGAUAUAAAACAUUUAUCUGGGCUAUGGCUACAGCUUUUACAUGUCAUAAAAUUUUAGACCUAAGAGACAUCUUAGAAACAAUGUAAUCUAACCCACUUAUUUCCCAGAUAGGAAUUCAAGAAAGUUAUUCUGUUUAAGCUACACUUUCAUGCUUUUUUUUUGUUGUUGUUGUUACUCAAUUUUGUGCUUUCUGCUCACCUGAAAAGGAACAGUCAUAUUACUUUCUGGUGAUUGGGGUAAAGAUGAGACAUAAAGUGGUCUAAUUUCCCAUCUUUACAGAUCAUGAGAUCUGAAAAAAUGAAAUGAUUUGUCAGAUUCAGAAGAUUAGUGUGAGGGCCUGACCCUAACUUUCUUCUGGACUUGUGUUCUAGGACACUUUCUAUUGCAAUGGGGUUUUGAUUAAAUUCUUAGGUGAUUAGAAAGCAGUAAUUACCAGUAAUCUAGAAUCUUCCAUUGUAUUUCAGAAAAAGUAACGUGAAAUACUUAAGAAAGUUGUCAGAGGUCUUUGGGCCAACUGUACUUUUAAAAAUACAUUUUGAAAAUUUAAAUAUACAUAAAAAUAAAAAUGAUAGUAUAAUGAA